ACACAUGCAAGUCGAGCGCACCUUCGGGUGAGCGGCGGACGGGUGAGUAACGCGUGGGAACGUGCCCUUCUCUGCGGAAUAGCCACUGGAAACGGUGAGUAAUACCGCAUACGCCCUUCGGGGGAAAGAUUUAUCGGAGAAGGAUCGGCCCGCGUUAGAUUAGGUAGUUGGUGGGGUAAUGGCCUACCAAGCCUACGAUCUAUAGCUGGUUUGAGAGGAUGAUCAGCCACACUGGGACUGAGACACGGCCCAGACUCCUACGGGAGGCAGCAGUGGGGAAUCUUAGACAAUGGGCGCAAGCCUGAUCUAGCCAUGCCGCGUGAGUGAUGAAGGCCUUAGGGUCGUAAAGCUCUUUCGCUGGGGAAGAUAAUGACUGUACCCAGUAAAGAAACCCCGGCUAACUCCGUGCCAGCAGCCGCGGUAAUACGGAGGGGGUUAGCGUUGUUCGGAAUUACUGGGCGUAAAGCGCGCGUAGGCGGAUCAGAAAGUUGGGGGUGAAAUCCCGGGGCUCAACCUCGGAACUGCCUCCAAAACUCCUGGUCUUGAGUUCGAGAGAGGUGAGUGGAAUUCCGAGUGUAGAGGUGAAAUUCGUAGAUAUUCGGAGGAACACCAGUGGCGAAGGCGGCUCACUGGCUCGAUACUGACGCUGAGGUGCGAAAGUGUGGGGAGCAAACAGGAUUAGAUACCCUGGUAGUCCACACCGUAAACGAUGAAUGCCAGUCGUCGGCAAGCAUGCUUGUCGGUGACACACCUAACGGAUUAAGCAUUCCGCCUGGGAGUACGGUCGCAAGAUUAAAACU
rnacentral:rRNA from 1 species